rnacentral:rRNA from 1 species
GUAGGUGGGCAAGCGUUGUCCGGAAUUAUUGGGCGUAAAGCGCGCGCAGGGCGGUCCUUUAAGUCUGAUGUGAAAGCCCACGGCUCAACCGUGGAGGGUCAUUGGAAACUGGGGGACUUGAGUACAGAAGAGGAAAGCGGAAUUCCAAGUGUAGCGGUGAAAUGCGUAGAGAUUUGGAGGAACACCAGUGGCGAAGGCGGCUUUCUGGUCUGUAACUGACGCUGAGGCGCGAAAGCGUGGGGAGCAAACAGGAUUAGAUACCCUGGUAGUCCACGCCGUAAACGAUGAGUGCUAAGUGUUAGGGGGUUUCCGCCCCUUAGUGCUGCAGCUAACGCACUAAGCACUCCGCCUGGGGAGUACGGCCGCAAGGCUG